rnacentral:rRNA from 1 species
GACGAACGCUGGCGGCGUGCUUAACACAUGCAAGUCGAACGGAAAGGCCCUGCUUUUGUGGGGUGCUCGAGUGGCGAACGGGUGAGUAACACGUGAGUAACCUGCCCUUGACUUUGGGAUAACUUCAGGAAACUGGGGCUAAUACCGGAUAGGAGCUCCUGCUGCAUGGUGGGGGUUGGAAAGAUUCGGCGGUUGGGGAUGGACUCGCGGCUUAUCAGCUUGUUGGUGGGGUAGUGGCUUACCAAGGCUUUGACGGGUAGCCGGCCUGGGAGGGUGACCGGCCACAUUGGGACUGAGAUACGGCCCAGACUCCUACGGGAGGCAGCAGUGGGGAAUAUUGCACAAUGGGCGGAAGCCUGAUGCAGCAACGCCGCGUGCGGGAUGACGGCCUUCGGGUUGUAAACCGCUUUCGCCUGUGACGAAGCGUGAGUGACGGUAAUGGGUAAAGAAGCACCGGCUAACUACGUG